AACAAGGCGUACCUGCGGACCUGCGGAGGGAUCAUUAUUGAAUUUUCCUAAAGAAAAAUUUUGUGCUUUUACUGUUCUCUUGAAAGAGAGGAUAGUGCAGUACAAGAUUUUUCUCAAACAAACGAUCACAACUAAUAAUUGAAUUGGCUUGAUAUUAUAUAUAACAAGUGUUUGCCUGAUAAUCAAGAUGAUUUGGAUUGGAGAAAGAAAUACAACUUUCAACAAUGGAUCUCAGAUCGG
rnacentral:misc_RNA from 1 species